rnacentral:rRNA from 1 species
AACGAACGCUGGCGGCGUGCCUAACACAUGCAAGUCGAACGGAAUUUGAGAGCUUGCUCUUAAAUUUAGUGGCGCACGGGUGAGUAACGCGUAGAUAAUCUGCCUGACGAUCUGGGAUAACACUUCGAAAGAGGUGCUAAUACCGGAUAAGCCCACGGAGUCUUUGGAUUCUGCGGGAAAAGGGGGGGACCUGCGGGCCUUCUGUCGUCAGAUGAGUCUGCGUACCAUUAGCUAGCUGGUAGGGUAAUGGCCUACCAAGGCGACGAUGGUUAGCUGGUCUGAGAGGAUGAUCAGCCAAACUGGAACCGAGACACGGUCCAGACUCCUACGGGAGGCAGCAGUGGGGAAUUUUGCGCAAUGGGCGGAAGCCUGACGCAGCAACGCCGCGUGAGUGAUGAAGGCUUUCGGGUCGUAAAGCUCUGUCGAGGGGAAAGAAGUGUACUUUGGCUAAUAUCCAUUGUACUUGACGGUACCCCUAAAGGAAGCACCGGCUAACUCCGUGCCAGCCGCCGCGGUAAUAC